rnacentral:rRNA from 1 species
AUUGAACGCUGGCGGCAGGCUUAACACAUGCAAGUCGAGCGGUGAGAGGUAGCUUGCUACUGAUCUUAGCGGCGGACGGGUGAGUAAUGCUUAGGAAUCUGCCUAUUAGUGGGGGACAACAUUACGAAAGGAACGCUAAUACCGCAUACGUCCUACGGGAGAAAGCAGGGGAACUUCGGACCUUGCGCUAAUAGAUGAGCCUAAGUCGGAUUAUAUAGUUGGUGGAGUAAAUGCCUACCAAGGCGACGAUCUGUAGCGGGUGCGAGAGGAUGAUACGGCUCACUUGGACUGGGAAACGGGCCCGGCUCCUACCGGAGGCCGCAGUGGUGAAUAUUUGACAAUGGGCGCAAGCCUUAUCCAACCAUGCCGCCUGUGUGAAGAAGGCCUUAUGGUUUUAAAACACUUUAAACGAGGAGGAAGCUACUUUAGUUAAUACCUAGAGAUGGUGGACGUUACCCACAGAAUAAGCACCGGCUAACUCUGUGCCAGCAGCCGCAGUAA